AGCCUGGUAGCGUGUGUGCUUUGUAAGCGCUAGGUAGCGGGUUCGAUUCCCGCCCGGGCCG
rnacentral:tRNA from 1 species